UAGGGAAUCUUCGGCAAUGGACGGAAGUCUGACCGAGCAACGCCGCGUGAGUGAAGAAGGUUUUCGGAUCGUAAAGCUCUGUUGUUAGAGAAGAACGUUGGUAGGAGUGGAAAAUCUACCAAGUGACGGUAAUUAACCAGAUAGGGACGGCUAACUACGUGCCAGCAGCCGUUGUAAUACGUAGGUCCCGAGCGUUGUCCCGAUUUAUUGGGGGUAAAGCGAGUGCAGGCGGGUCUUUAAGUCUGAAGUUAAAGGCAGUGGCCUAACCAUUGUGCGCUGUGGAAACUGGAAGAAUUGAGUGCAGAAGGGGAGGGUGGAAUUCCAUGUGUAGCGGUGAAAUGCGUAGAUAUAUGGAAGAACACCGGUGGCGAAAGCGGCUCUCUAGUCUGUAACUGACGCUGAGGGUCGAAAGCGUGGGGAGCGAACGGG
rnacentral:rRNA from 1 species